AUCUUUCACUGGACACACAAAUGGGUGCGCGCAGCAAAAUUCAGCCCUAAUGGCGAAUGUGUGCGAACGUUCACCCUGGGAAGAGCUGAAGGCGAGCUAAUACAGUGCAUUCGUCGCCGGAGAAUGAUGUUGCAUUUCACCCAAGUGGAAAUUUCUUGGUGACUGGCGGCGAUGACGAUACAAUAAGAUUGCUUGAUUUAUUAGAAGUUGCUCGUUUGGAAAUCUAAUUUGCAUACAUUUGAUGCCAAUAGCUCUCGCAACAAACAUGCCAGUUCUCAAAGAGUCCAAAUUGAUUUUAGUCAUGCAACACCUCCACAUAACUCCGCCAUAGACACACCGGUUGCUGGAGUACCAAAAAGCUGUGAUGACAGUAUUUUAAUUGAUCCACGACAAUCGGUGGCAUAUGGAAUGCGUGAUGGAAAUUUUCUGGUGCUUCAUAGCCAAUAUACUACAAGACAGUUACAUUAAGAAGCUCAUAGAGGACAGAGCUGUUGCUGAGGAAGGUGUCGAGUUACUGUCUCUGUAUCUAAAACUGAAUAACUCAAAUCAAAUUGGAUUGCAUUUGCAUAAUAUACCUAAUAUCGGAAUCUGUUUUGAUCGUAAAAAAUACAACUUGCAAUCAUUUAGAUUAUAGUUUUGAAAGAAAUUGAUUGCAAUCGUAAAUUGCGUAAAAAUUGUUAAUAGCAAUCUGCCUUAAAUUUAUGUUCCCCAUAUAACAGGUAUAAAAUACGUUAAAUCCGCACUAUCUGCAUUAACAAAAAAUAUACAUUGGAAUAUUUAAAAUAAAACGAUUCAUAUUUAUUUUCUAAUAAGAAUUAUUUCUUAAUUGAAAGUAUUUUAUACUAA